CCUCCGAUAGCUCAGCGGUAGAUCGCCGGGGCAUGGACCCGGAGGCGGCUGGUUCGAUUCCAGCUCGGAGGA
rnacentral:tRNA from 1 species